rnacentral:rRNA from 1 species
UACGAAGGGGGCUAGCGUUGCUCGGAAUCACUGGGCGUAAAGGGUGCGUAGGCGGGUUUUUAAGUCAGGGGUGAAAUCCUGGAGCUCAACUCCAGAACUGCCUUUGAUACUGAAGAUCUUGAGUUCGGGAGAGGUGAGUGGAACUGCGAGUGUAGAGGUGAAAUUCGUAGAUAUCGAGAGGAACACCUGCGGCGAAGGCGGGUUGCUGGGCUGACACUGACGCUGAGGUGCGAAAGCGUGAGGAGCAAACGGG